UAAAUAAACGCAACGUGAAAUAAGCGAUAAACUCAUUUAUGCUAGAUUCUUGACUCUGGCCACUUUUCGUAAUCGUCGACACAUACGAAUCGACUCUUUCCCCGGUUGGACAGAGCCAGUUUUUUCUCAAAUUACCUGGAUCGCUAGAAACGUUCUCAGAAUUGAAUGGAAAGACAGUGUACCUCCCAAAUUAUUUUUAUUUCUCAACGUAACUUUAACAUUGAUAUAUUUGAACCAACGAUGCUUCAAGAUCGUUUCAUCAAAAUAUUUACCAAUAAUUGCCGAUACAAGCUUUCUUAACUCUUCGGACAAGUAUUUUUGCAGUCGUGGAGAUCGAUGAAAAUCGCGAAGUCAAAGAUUGAAAUUAAAAUGGAAUUUAAUGAAUACGCUAGAUGCGGUAAUAAAUGGUAUCUUAAUUACACAAUAAUUAAUUAUUUAUUUUUGCUCACACAAGCUUCACUUAUAAGUGGCAAAUGACUCAUUUUUACCGAACCUAGUCUCUUCACGUUCCAUGAAGGAUCCUUUCAUGCACCAAAUAAAAAUUUGGCGAGCUGAAAUUUCCAAUAAUACUGCUAUAAUUUGCGCUUCGUUCCAAGUUCUUGUUUGUCAAACGACAAAGCCGUACAUUUUCAAACGCAAACGAGAACUACGAAAUUUACUUACGAUCAUCGAUAUCUUUUAAUUUAACGCGAAAUAAAUAAAAUAUCGAAUUUUGUUCAAACAAUAGCCAGUAAUACGUCGCUUCGUUCAAUACAUCGGAACGCUUGAGACACGAACAAACCUGAUAACACCAACGCAAAUCAUCAACAAGUAACUCGAGGAUUUCAUUAUGGAAAAUCGAACGAGACACACUUACCUCGUGCCAUCUUCUUCUUUAGACCGUUCCUCGGCAAUGAGGCUAUCAAAGCAGCUAAAGAAAUUAUUGAAAUUUCCAACACGCUGCAAACAAUUACUCUGCUUGCUCAAGGUAGCACAAAUGAAACACGCGUUGCUACGAAAAUCAUUUACAUCGUAUCGUGCCGAAACUUGCAAAACUCAAGAAACUCGCGUCACUGGCGCUUUUUCUACUAAUACGAGACGUACAAUUAAGCUGCUAAUUUGUCACGCUGCUCGAUGAGAUUACCAACAGACAAAGAGAAGAGCAAUAUUUCGAACGUUUCUGUAAUUUAACGAACGUAACGAGAUCUGUCGUGGAGAUC